rnacentral:ncRNA from 2 species
UCGCUUGGUGCAGGUCGG